rnacentral:rRNA from 1 species
GAUGAACGCUGGCGGCGCGCCUAACACAUGCAAGUCGAACGAUUAAAGCACCUUCGGGUGUGUAUAAAGUGGCGAACGGCUGAGUAACACGUGGGCAACCUGCCCCUCUCAUUGGGAUAGCCACGGGAAACCGUGGAUAAUACCGAAUACUUCGAGUCUCCCGCAUGGAAGACUCGAGAAAGCUCCGGCGGAGAGGGAUGGGCCCGCGGCCUGUUAGCUUGUUGGUGGGGUAACGGCCUACCAAGGCAAUGAUGGGUAGCUGGGUUGAGAGACCGACCAGCCAGAUUGGGACUGAGACACGGCCCAGACUCCUACGGGAGGCAGCAGUGGGGAAUCUUGCACAAUGGGCGAAAGCCUGAUGCAGCGACGCCGCGUGCGGGAUGAAGGC